UUCACUUGUCCUUUUGGAACAUUUGCUUAUAGACGUAUGCCUUUCGGUUUAUGUAAUGCAUAUGCUACCUUUCAAAGAUGUAUGACUGUGAUAUUCUCUGAUUUUAGUGAAAAGACUGUUGAGGUUUUCAUGGACGACUUUUCUGUUUAUGGGAAGUCUUUUGAUGAUUGUUUAAGCAAUCUUGAUCGAGUUUUGCAGAGAUGUGAACAAACAAAUAUUCUCUUGAAUUGGGAGAAGUACCACUUUAUGGUUAAUGAAGGUAUUGUCUUGGGCCAUAAAAUUUCUGAAAUAGGCAUUGAGGUGGACAAAGCCAAGGUUGAUGCAAUUGAGAAAAUGCCAUGUCCUAAAGAUAUCAAAGGUAUUUGUAGUUUUCUUGGUCAUGUUGGUUUCUAUAGAAGGUUUAUCAAAGACUUUCCUAAAAUUUCU
rnacentral:rRNA from 1 species